rnacentral:rRNA from 1 species
UACGUAGGGUGCAAGCGUUAAUCGGAAUUACUGGGCGUAAAGCGUGCGCAGGCGGUUAUGCAAGACAGAUGUGAAAUCCCCGGGCUCAACCUGGGAGCUGUAUUUGUGACUGCAUGACUAGAGUACGGCAGAGGGGGAUGGAAUUCCGCGUGUAGCAGUGAAAUGCGUAGAUAUGCGGAGGAACACCGAUGGCGAAGGCAAUCCCCUGGCCUGUACUGACGCUCAUGCACGAAAGCGUGGGGAGCAAACAGG